GGGGAUUGGAAUGGGAAGGGUGGAAGAUCAUUCUCUGUGCUCUUUAAAUUGAAUAGAGUCGUAAGAAACAUUUCCCUCCCUGAAGUAAAUUCUUUAAAAAUUUUCUGGGUUCUCCCGGUGCCACAGUAUAGGCGUGUGGAUAUGUCACACAAUGGAGGCCUUGUGGUUUCAUCUGUGUAGACAGGAAGUCAUUUCUCUGGGUCCACAAAUCAGCUGUUGCCUCCAGCAAAACAAAUUUGACCACCAUUUCUCACCCGACACAUGGAGCUAUCAUAGUCAAGAAUGUCCUUAAGUUUAAAAGAAAUGUUCUUGGGGGAUACAUAUUUUAUAUGUAUAUAUAUAUUUCCAGAUUCUAAAGCUAAAACAAAGCAACCAGUCCUAAAGCCUCUGCUUUCUCAGAGCUUUUCUUUCUCCCUUGUCAGGAUCAAACACAUUCCCUGUCAUUCUGCAUCAUGGUAUUAGAGCAAGUGAAUUCUGUCAGAGUAUCAGAUUUUCCUUUUCAGUUGUUUUUAGAGACCGUAAUUUCUCUGUAAAAGAUAGCACUACUGAGAUGAAGGAGCACCUGUGUGUCCGUACUGCCCCUCGCAUAGCCAAAAGUAGGGGCGUGCAUCUCAUUCUACCGUCUAGGAUUUUCAGGUUUUCCUGUGACUGUGACAGUAGAGAGUCCUUCAUCCUCUGAAGUUGAAGAGGUUGAUGAUUCUUCAGAGAGUGUUCAUGAAGUGCCUGAGAAAACUAGUAUAGAACAAGAAGCAUUACAGGAAAAACUGGAGGAGUGCCUAAAGCAGUUAAAGGAAGAAAGAGUGAUAAGGCUUAAGGUUGAUAAACGAGUCAGUGAGCUGGAACAUGAAAAUGCCCAGUUAAGAAAUAUAAAUUUCUCUUUGUCUGAAGCCCUUCAUGCACAGUCAUUGACAAAUA
rnacentral:lncRNA from 10 species